rnacentral:lncRNA from 1 species
GGGGCUUCGAGGAAGUGCUGUCGGCGGGCCGCGCUUGUUCGAAAGGGGGAAAUAAAAACCCUCCCUUUUCCUUCCGAACUCCUGCCCGACCGCGGCCGCCGCUGCCGCCGCCCGGGUUCGCCGUCCCGCCGUCCGCUCCCGCGCUCCUCAGGUGAGUGUGCGCUUUGUGCCUUCGCUGCCGCCGGCCCCGGCUGCGGCUCCGAGCUCCCCCUCGGACACCCGGCCGGCAGGACCGCCCGGCCCGGUAUUGUUCUCGCUGUCCCCGACGCUGCGGGACCACGGGAAGGGGGAGCCCCGAGGCCCCACCCGAUCGCGGAGCCGCCCCGGGCGCCGCUGGGGCUCCCCGGCAACUUUUCUCUUUCUCUCCGAGUCGGCGGUGGCGUUGCCGAGCGCGAAGCUGACCCGCCCGCGGCCCCUUCCCAAGCCCCCGCUCCCACCCCUGCGGGCUCGGGGGUGGGGAUCGGGCGGGAGCGAGGGGCAGGCGCUCAAAGAACAGCCAUCGUCUGCUCUUUUGGCAGAAAGUCCUGGAGCAGAAGGAGGAGUUGGAGCGGGUCUCCGCUGCCCCUACGGAACAACAGCCGCUCUCGCCUUGCUCAGAGGAACUGGGCUAUUAUUGUAGUGGCUUGUUGAAUUUCCCAGACUUCUUCCUUUGGUAAGUUUGAAUGCUAUCUUCCAUCAUAACUUGCGCAAUAGAUUUUGUAGUAUUCCAAGUUGUUGCUUUCCUAAACACGAAUCUCUUUGUAUGAC